rnacentral:piRNA from 1 species
UGUAAGAAAUGGAGCAAAUGACGUUACCUU